CAGCCGCCGCGGUAAUACGGAGGGUGCAAGCGUUAAUCGGAUUUACUGGGCGUAAAGCGUGCGUAGGCGGCGUUUUAAGUCGGAUGUGAAAGCCCUGAGCUUAACUUAGGAAUUGCAUUCGAUACUGGGUCGCUAGAGUAUGGGAGAGGAUGGUAGAAUUCCCGGUGUAGCGGUGAAAUGCGUAGAGAUCUGAAGGAACACCGAUGGCGAAGGCAGCCAUCUGGGCUAAUACUGACGCUGAGGUACGAAAGCAUGGGGAGCAAACAGGAUUAGAUACCCCAGUAGUCCCUGUCUCUUAUAC
rnacentral:rRNA from 1 species